rnacentral:rRNA from 1 species
AGCGUACACGGUGGAUGCCCUGGCAGUCAGAGGCGAUGAAGGACGUGCUAAUCUGCGAUAAGCGUCGGUGAGGUGAUAUGAACCGUUAUAACCGGCGAUUUCCGAAUGGGGAAACCCAGUGUGUUUCGACACACUAUCAUUAACUGAAUCCAUAGGUUAAUGAGGCGAACCGGGGGAACUGAAACAUCUAAGUACCCCGAGGAAAAGAAAUCAACCGAGAUUCCCCCAGUAGCGGCGAGCGAACGGGGAGGAGCCCAGAGCCUGAAUCAGUGUGUGUGUUAGUGGAAGCGUCUGGAAAGGCGUGCGAUACAGGGUGACAGCCCCGUACACAAAAAUGCACAUAUUGUGAGCUCGAUGAGUAGGGCGGGACACGUGGUAUCCUGUCUGAAUAUGGGGGGACCAUCCUCCAAGGCUAAAUACUCCUGACUGACCGAUAGUGAACCAGUACCGUGAGGGAAAGGCGAAAAGAACCCCGGCGAGGGGAGUGAAAAAGAACCUGAAACCGUGUACGUACAAGCAGUGGGAGCCUCUUAAUGGGGUGACUGCGUACCUUUUGUAUAAUGGGUCAGCGACUUAUAUUCUGUAGCAAGGUUAACCGAAUAGGGGAGCCGAAGGGAAACCGAGUCUUAACUGGGCGUUAAGUUGCAGGGUAUAGACCCGAAACCCGGUGAUCUAGCCAUGGGCAGGUUGAAGGUUGGGUAACACUAACUGGAGGACCGAACCGACUAAUGUUGAAAAAUUAGCGGAUGACUUGUGGCUGGGGGUGAAAGGCCAAUCAAACCGGGAGAUAGCUGGUUCUCCCCGAAAGCUAUUUAGGUAGCGCCUCGUGAAUUCAUCUCCGGGGGUAGAGCACUGUUUCGGCAAGGGGGUCAUCCCGACUUACCAACCCGAUGCAAACUGCGAAUACCGGAGAAUGUUAUCACGGGAGACACACGGCGGGUGCUAACGUCCGUCGUGAAGAGGGAAACAACCCAGACCGCCAGCUAAGGUCCCAAAGUCAUGGUUAAGUGGGAAACGAUGUGGGAAGGCCCAGACAGCCAGGAUGUUGGCUUAGAAGCAGCCAUCAUUUAAAGAAAGCGUAAUAGCUCACUGGUCGAGUCGGCCUGCGCGGAAGAUGUAACGGGGCUAAACCAUGCACCGAAGCUGCGGCAGCGACACUAUGUGUUGUUGGGUAGGGGAGCGUUCUGUAAGCCUGUGAAGGUGGCCUGUGAGGGUUGCUGGAGGUAUCAGAAGUGCGAAUGCUGACAUAAGUAACGAUAAAGCGGGUGAAAAGCCCGCUCGCCGGAAGACCAAGGGUUCCUGUCCAACGUUAAUCGGGGCAGGGUGAGUCGACCCCUAAGGCGAGGCCGAAAGGCGUAGUCGAUGGGAAACAGGUUAAUAUUCCUGUACUUGGUGUUACUGCGAAGGGGGGACGGAGAAGGCUAUGUUGGCCGGGCGACGGUUGUCCCGGUUUAAGCGUGUAGGCUGGUUUUCCAGGCAAAUCCGGAAAACCAAGGCUGAGGCGUGAUGACGAGGCACUACGGUGCUGAAGCGACAAAUGCCCUGCUUCCAGGAAAAGCCUCUAAGCAUCAGGUAACAUCAAAUCGUACCCCAAACCGACACAGGUGGUCAGGUAGAGAAUACCAAGGCGCUUGAGAGAACUCGGGUGAAGGAACUAGGCAAAAUGGUGCCGUAACUUCGGGAGAAGGCACGCUGAUAUGUAGGUGAAGCGACUUGCUCGUGGAGCUGAAAUCAGUCGAAGAUACCAGCUGGCUGCAACUGUUUAUUAAAAACACAGCACUGUGCAAACACGAAAGUGGACGUAUACGGUGUGACGCCUGCCCGGUGCCGGAAGGUUAAUUGAUGGGGUUAGCGGCAACGCGAAGCUCUUGAUCGAAGCCCCGGUAAACGGCGGCCGUAACUAUAACGGUCCUAAGGUAGCGAAAUUCCUUGUCGGGUAAGUUCCGACCUGCACGAAUGGCGUAAUGAUGGCCAGGCUGUCUCCACCCGAGACUCAGUGAAAUUGAACUCGCUGUGAAGAUGCAGUGUACCCGCGGCAAGACGGAAAGACCCCGUGAACCUUUACUAUAGCUUGACACUGAACAUUGAGCCUUGAUGUGUAGGAUAGGUGGGAGGCUUUGAAGUGUGGACGCCAGUCUGCAUGGAGCCGACCUUGAAAUACCACCCUUUAAUGUUUGAUGUUCUAACGUUGGCCCGUAAUCCGGGUUGCGGACAGUGUCUGGUGGGUAGUUUGACUGGGGCGGUCUCCUCCUAAAGAGUAACGGAGGAGCACGAAGGUUGGCUAAUCCUGGUCGGACAUCAGGAGGUUAGUGCAAUGGCAUAAGCCAGCUUGACUGCGAGCGUGACGGCGCGAGCAGGUGCGAAAGCAGGUCAUAGUGAUCCGGUGGUUCUGAAUGGAAGGGCCAUCGCUCAACGGAUAAAAGGUACUCCGGGGAUAACAGGCUGAUACCGCCCAAGAGUUCAUAUCGACGGCGGUGUUUGGCACCUCGAUGUCGGCUCAUCACAUCCUGGGGCUGAAGUAGGUCCCAAGGGUAUGGCUGUUCGCCAUUUAAAGUGGUACGCGAGCUGGGUUUAGAACGUCGUGAGACAGUUCGGUCCCUAUCUGCCGUGGGCGCUGGAGAACUGAGGGGGGCUGCUCCUAGUACGAGAGGACCGGAGUGGACGCAUCACUGGUGUUCGGGUUGUCAUGCCAAUGGCACUGCCCGGUAGCUAAAUGCGGAAGAGAU